rnacentral:rRNA from 1 species
UUAGAGUUUGAUCCUGGCUCAGAUUGAACGCUGGCGGCAUGGCUAAAGCAUGCAAGUCGAACGAGAACCCGCCUUCGGGCGGGGGACAGUGGCGAAAGGGCGAGGAAUACGCUCCUUAUGUACCCCAAGGCGGGGGAUAGGUCGGGGAAACCCGGCGUAAUACCCCAUGUGCUCUACGGAGGAAAGGCUUCGGCCGCCUUGGGAGCAGGGAGCGUCCUAUCAGGUUGUUGGUGAGGUAAUGGCUCACCAAGCCGAAGACGGGUAGCGGGUGUGAGAGCAUGACCCGCCGCAUCGGGACUGAGACACUGCCCGGACUCCUACGGGAGGCUGCAGCGACGAAUCUUCCGCAAUGCGCGAAAGCGUGACGGAGCAAUGCCGCGUGCGGGAUGAAGCGGCUCCGCCGUGUAAACCGCUGUCAGGGGUUCGAAACACUGAUCAACCCCAAAGGAAGGGCCGGCUAACCUCGUGCCAGCAGCCGCGGUAAGACGAGGGGCCCGAGCGUUACUCAGAAUCACUGGGCUUAAAGGGUGCGUAGGCGGAUGCGCAAGCGUCUCGUGAAAUCCCUCGGCUCAACCGAGGAACUGCGGGGCGAACUGCGUGUCUUGAGACAGGUAGGGGCCGUCGGAACGAUCGGUGGAGCGGUGGAAUGCAUAGAUAUCGAUCGGAACGCCGAAGGAGAAGUCGGGCGGCUGGGCCUGUUCUGACGCUGAGGCACGAAAGCGUGGGGAGCGAACGGGAUUAGAUACCCCGGUAGUCCACGCCCUAAACGAUGCGCACUAGAUCGAGGCGGUUUCGAAGCCGUCUCGGCCGUAGAGAAAUCAUUAAGUGCGCCGCCUGGGGAGUACGGUCGCAAGGCUAAAACUCAAAGGAAUUGACGGGGGCUCACACAAGCGGUGGAGCAUGUUGCUUAAUUCGAAGCAACGCGAAGAACCUUAUCCUGGGUUGACAUGCACGGAUUAC